rnacentral:siRNA from 1 species
ACCACAGUUCGACUUCUCGGAUGC